rnacentral:lncRNA from 1 species
UGUAUAUUCACUAAUAUUGCCCAUUUUCACAUCAGAUGUGUUCGACUCAGGCACAACCACCCUUCAUUUGUGCAACGUCUGCAAGAAGUAAAUCAAUCACUUUGCUCUAGCUAGAAUCAUUAAAAUAAUAAGCAUUUCAGAGUUUGAGAGAUUAAGAAUUCUAUUGACUUUGUUUUAUGUCGAAUCCUAGUUCUUAUCACGAAUUAUUAUAAACAAACUUCCCAGACACAGGGAUAUUUAUGACAAGUUCACUUACUGAACAGAUAAGAAACAAGAAUUUGAAAUAAAACAAGGAUGAGUUCUUAAAUAUAUUCAGUGGAAGCUAAUUUGUGAAGGUAAUCAAAUAUUAUAUAUCCUCAAGCUGAAGUCCCUUCUAAGGAUCAUUCAUGUGUGCUGAUGAUAAUGAACUCAAAUUUGUUGAGACUUCAUCUGUUGCUUUUUUUCGCACGACUGUUGCACCGGACUAUUCAUUAACUUCUCAAGUCCUUUGUGGUUGUGUGUAUUGCUUAGUGGAUGGUUACAUCAACGGUAUAUACUUCUCUACCCCCUUCCAUUUAGUAGAUAUUGUAAAACCAAGGACAACCUCCUGAGGCUUAGGAGAAGCUAUAUAUAACUCUUUUCAACAUCUGUUAUUAGUUGGAAUUAAGUUCGGCUCAUGUGUUGGAUCACCAUUAUUCACUGCCUUCUUUGGAGAUUGAUUUUUCAGGCCAAAAUACAUUCAGUCCCUUGCCUGUAUGUAUAAACAAAAUACACUCAAUUCCUUUAUAAAAUCUUACCAUACAUCUACAAUAUACUAUUUUUUCUUUGCUAUAAGGAUGGAAUUUUAAAUGUUUGGUGAAAAACUGAUAUGUGAAGGUAAUUAGCAUUAUAAAGUCCUGAAAAUCAACUCCAACCACAAGAAGGUGGAAAGAGUAUUACUUUGUUGAAGCAUCCAAUAAAAAGAAAGCCGACUAAAGUUUUGAUAUGUAUGUUAAAAUAAAUUAGUUUGACGAGGCAGAAAAUUCAUGUUAAAGUAUUCACUAAGAUAUGAA